GAGAAUAUAGUAAGAAAAUGACAAAAAAAAAAUGUUUGUACAAAGUCGGUCAGCUGAAUGAAAGGAGUUGUACUAGAGUUUUUGGACGGGGCAACUUUAUGGGACACACAUUAACCCUUGGUAACUUCUCUCCAGAUUACAAAGGCUUACACAACUGGAGAGUACGUAGUGGAGGCGUGAACGGGGAAGUCGUCACAAUUGCCUGCUGCAGUGGUGAAUGAUGGCCCCAAAACCAGUGUCAAGCAGUCCAAGGGUUAGGUAAUCAGGGUUGUCACAUUCAGAUGCAAAGAUUAAAGCUUUUUUGCACCUCUAAGGACACAAGUACUUAGAAAAGGAUUUUUUUACAAAUGUAGUUACUGUAUUGAGUCAUUUGCAAUACAUGCACUUGAUAUUUUCGGAUCUGAUAUUUCCCUAAACGAUGAACCCUGUUCAAGCAAAACAAGUUUUGGAAAAUUACAAUUAAGUAACAAAAGAAACCCAUCAUGAAUGAGUAAAAUCUUACUUACUUCUACAAAUUGCCUGUGGGGCUUCAAAUUCUGAAAUUGAUAAGCUUCUCCUGAUCUCUUAACCUCUUUGCCAUCUUGCUAGACAUACGCAAAAAUAGAAAAUUUAUCAAAAAGCAGCUAAAUCACAACCAGAUUUUAAAAAAAAAAACAGGAUAAAAAUAUCGAAUUGAAGGAAAAAUAACUUAAAACUAUUUUUAGGUAUGAGAAAAACGUCGAAUUCAUCACAGUAGGGAAUGAGAAUGGAAAGACAAAGAGGAUACAUAUGAAGUGGUGGGCUACGUGUGUGUUAGUCAUGGGUAUAACCAAAUGGCUGAAAAGCCAAAUAUACCCUUAACUUCUAAUUUAUUGACGUUAAGCAGGCAUGUUGAAACUGUCUCUUCUAAUAUAUCUAAAAAUAAAA
rnacentral:lncRNA from 1 species